GGAAGGAGCCGCCCGGAGAGCUGGGUGGUAACCAUCUCAGAGCAGCCGUGGGACAGGGCCGGGCUUGGCCUCCCUGGAGGUGAAAUGUCUGCCCCAUUUGAUGCCAUGGAAUGAUUCCAGGGCCAAGAGGGAGGGCCUGCAGUGUCCGGCAGAGAGCCCAGCGCACCGUACAUCACAGAAUAAAGGGACACAGCACUGGCAGCAGCCCAGUCCAGGGCUGGGGAGGUUUAAUGAGGCCGCCUGGCUCCAUGGAGAAUGAGAGGAACAGCAUCACUAUUUCAGAGGAAAGUCAGAGUGAAGCAAAACCCCCUCACAGCUCCUGUGAAUCUGAAAUCCUAGAGCUGCUGGGCUGGCAGCAGUGCCCAGACCACGAAGCUUUACACACGUCUGCAGCACAGACGCUUCGGGGGUUUGGAGGGAAGGCCUGACUUUUCCGUUCUGCACGAGCUGCCAGCGGCUUAUAGAUCACUCUGGGAGCCAGCGUGGAGGGACCAAGCACAACUGUUUUGGAACAUUCACAACUUGUUAAAAAAAACAACCAGCGAACAUCAGGCAACGUAGCGCUGGGGCGCAGCCCGUGAAAUCCAGGCACACGCUGCUGAGAAGGGAAGAUUUGCUAUUUUGGCAGGAGGACACGCAGAUGUAGAGGGGAACACUGGUGUUGGGAUUGCCAGGAAGUACCAGUUCGCAUUGGCCUGCAAAGAACGGGCCUUUUGCAUGUAACCACAGAUGUCCCACGUGGCUGGGCCGAGCUGCCUGGAGCUGACACUUUAUCUUUCAUAAGAUAAAGGCUCCAUGGCCUUGGGGUGUCACAUACGCUACCUCCUCAGGAAUCAGAAACAGGGAUUGUUCCUGCAGGUGUGACCUUGUGCCUGUGAAAAGCCCACAGCUUAUGCUCCAGGCUGCUCCAGGCCCGUUCAGCCAGCUCUGGCAGCACCCGCCCCAGUAGUUUGUAGCCUGGAAGGA